UACACUCCUACGGGAGGCAGCAGUGGGGAAUAUUGCACAAUGGGCGCAAGCCUGAUGCAGCCAUGCCGCGUGUAUGAAGAAGGCCUUCGGGUUGUAAAGUACUUUCAGCGGGGAGGAAGGCGAUAAGGUUAAUAACCUUGUUGAUUGACGUUACCCGCAGAAGAAGCACCGGCUAACUCCGUGCCAGCAGCCGCGGUAAUACGGAGGGUGCAAGCGUUAAUCGGAAUUACUGGGCGUAAAGCGCACGCAGGCGGUCUGUCAAGUCGGAUGUGAAAUCCCCGGGCUCAACCUGGGAACUGCAUUCGAAACUGGCAGGCUAGAGUCUUGUAGAGGGGGGUAGAAUUCCAGGUGUAGCGGUGAAAUGCGUAGAGAUCUGGAGGAAUACCGGUGGCGAAGGCGGCCCCCUGGACAAAGACUGACGCUCAGGUGCGAAAGCGUGGGGAGCAAACAGGAUUAGAAACCCCAGUAGUCC
rnacentral:rRNA from 1 species